UACGUAGGGAGCGAGCGUUGUCCGGAAUUACUGGGCGUAAAGGGUGCGUAGGCGGCCAGGCAAGUCAGAUGUGAAAUCCCCGGGCUUAACUCGGGAGUUGCAUUUGAAACUGCUUGGCUUGAGUGCAGGAGAGGAAAGCGGAAUUCCUAGUGUAGCGGUGAAAUGCGUAGAUAUUAGGAGGAACACCAGUGGCGAAGGCGGCUUUCUGGACUGUAACUGACGCUGAGGCACGAAAGCGUGGGGAGCAAAC
rnacentral:rRNA from 1 species